rnacentral:tRNA from 1 species
ACACCGAUGGUGAAAUGGUUAUUAUGCUUGCCUUCCAGUACAGCUUUGAAGCUCUGCCUACAGCAAGCGGUAGGGGUUCGAUUCCCCUUCGGUGUA